rnacentral:RNase_P_RNA from 1 species
CUAGGAAGCUGGAUGAUAGGUCGAAAUUUCGACCAGGAAAGUCCAGACAGCAUAGAGCAGGGUGGUCCGCGUAAGCGGACAGUCGUAAGAUCUAGUCUAGAGUAACAGAGACGAAUCCUGUACCAUACGGUACAGGAGUGAAACGCCGAAAGCCGUAAGGCUGUAGGUCCUGAUCCUGAGAGUAAUCGAAGGAGAAGGAGACAAUCCUCCCCGCUGCAAUCCUAGAAAUGACUGAACUGCUCGUUCUAUAGUCAAAAUCAGGAGCUUAGAUAAAUUUCAUCUUUAAAACAGAACCUGGCUUUAGAUAGUUUACUAUCGCAAGACAGAUCUGUUGAAAACAGAAUCUGGCUUAUUAGCUUCCUAGGCAC